rnacentral:rRNA from 1 species
UACAGAGGUGCCAAGCGUUUAGGCGGAAUCACUGGGCUUAAAGCGCGUGUAGGCGGGUCGUUUAAGUGUCCGCGUGAAAUCCCACGGCUCAACCGUGGAACUGCCGGGCAUACUGGCGAUCUUGAGGCAUUCAGGGGCGAGCGGAACAAAUGGUGGAGCGGUGAAAUGCGUAGAUAUCAUUUGGAACGCCAAUGGUGAAAACAGCUCGCUGGGAAUGAUCUGACGUGAGACGCGAAAGCCAGGGGAGCGAACGGG